UCUCUCAGCAACUACCUGCUUACCAUAAACAAAUGUGAAGUUUAACUUCUCCUCUGGAUAAAGGCAAAUGACUAACACAGAAGUACACCCCAACUACAAAGAUAAUUUCUAAAGAACUAGAUACAACAGCAAUGAUGCUGGUACAGUCCUACUACAUGACGACAAAUUAUCAUCUUGAGAACAUAUCCUUAUGAGGACCUAGGAAAAUCUGAUGAUUCUUCUAAGAAACUGGGCUAGAGCAAGGAAAAAACCCAGCUGAGAGAAUGUUAAGUUUUUACAAUGGAGAUGUACACGAACAAAAAAACUAAUAAUUGGGAUAAAAUACAUAAGAAUGAUGGGUCACCUAGAGAUGUCAACCAAAAGAAACACUAGGGAGGUCUAGCGCUGGAACCAAAAAAGGAAAACAAAAUGAGGGUUCUAGAACAGAAUUCCACCAAAGACAUACAUCUGUAACACAAUUAAAAAUUUUUUACUUCCACGUUGAAUCACUACAUUGUACA